rnacentral:tRNA from 1 species
GGGAAAGUAAUAUAUAGAAGUAUAUAAAAUUGCAAGUUUUAAUGAAAGUUUCCUU